ACCUUUAAUUGUUGCUUCGGCGGGACUUCGCGCCCGCCGGGGACCCAAACCUUCUGAAUUUUUUAAUAAGUAUCUUCUGAGUGGUUAAAAAAAAAUGAAUCAAAACUUUCAACAACGGAUCUCUUGGUUCUGGCAUCGAUGAAGAACGCAGCGAAAUGCGAUAAGUAAUGUGAAUUGCAGAAUUCAGUGAAUCAUCGAAUCUUUGAACGCACAUUGCGCCCGUCAGUAUUCUGGCGGGCAUGCCUGUUCGAGCGUCAUUACGCCCCUCAAGUCCCCUGUGGACUUGGUGUUGGGGAUCGGCGAGGCUGGUUUUCCAGCACAGCCGUCCCUUAAAUUAAUUGGCGGUCUCGCCGUGGCCCUCCUCUGCGCAGUAGUAAAACACUCGCAACAGGAGCCCGGCGCGGUCCACUGCCGUAAAACCCCCCAACUUUUUAUAGUUGACCUCGAAUCAGGUAGGACUACCCGCUGAACUUAAGCAUAUCAAUAAGCGGAGGA
rnacentral:rRNA from 1 species